UGCCAGCCGCCGCGGUAACACGUAGGGAGCAAGCGUUGUCCGGAUUUAUUGGGCGUAAAGAGCUCGUAGGCUGCUCAGUAAGUCGGGUGUGAAAUUUCAGGGCUUAACCCUGAAACGCCACCCGAUACUGCUGUGGCUAGAGUAUGGUAGAGGAGCGUGGAAUUCCUGGUGUAGCGGUGAAAUUCGUAGAUAUUGGGAAGAACACCAGUGGCGAAGGCGGCUAACUGGCUCGGUACUGACGCUGAGAUGCGAAAGCGUGGGGAGCAAACAGGAUUAGAUA
rnacentral:rRNA from 1 species